AGGACACUCUAUACGGAGUUACAAAGGACGACAUUAGACGAAUCAUCUGGAAAGAUGAAUCAAAGAAGGUAAUAAUCCUGUAGUCGAAAAUGUUGUCUCUCUUGAGUGGAUCCUGAGUACGACGGAGCACGUGAAAUUCCGUCGGAAUCUGGGAGGACCAUCUCCUAAGGCUAAAUACUCUCUAGUGACCGAUAGUGAACCAGUACCGUGAGGGAAAGGUGAAAAGCACCCCGGAAGGGGAGUGAAAUAGAACCUGAAACCGUGUGCUUACAAGUAGUCAGAGCCCGUUAAUGGGUGAUGGCGUGCCUUUUGUAGAAUGAACCGGCGAGUUACGAUUUGAUGCAAGGUUAAGCAGUAAAUGUGGAGCCGUAGCGAAAGCGAGUCUGAAUAGGGCGUUUAGUAUUUGGUCGUAGACCCGAAACCAGGUGAUCUACCCUUGGUCAGGUUGAAGUUCAGGUAACACUGAAUGGAGGACCGAACCGACUUACGUUGAAAAGUGAGCGGAUGAACUGAGGGUAGCGGAGAAAUUCCAAUCGAACCUGGAGAUAGCUGGUUCUCUCCGAAAUAGCUUUAGGGCUAGCCUCAAGUGAUGAUUAUUGGAGGUAGAGCACUGUUUGGACGAGGGGCCCCUCUCGGGUUACCGAAUUCAGACAAACUCCGAAUGCCAAUUAAUUUAACUUGGGAGUCAGAACAUGGGUGAUAAGGUCCGUGUUCGAAAGGGAAACAGCCCAGACCACCAGCUAAGGUCCCAAAAUAUAUGUUAAGUGGAAAAGGAUGUGGCGUUGCCCAGACAACUAGGAUGUUGGCUUAGAAGCAGCCAUCAUUUAAAGAGUGCGUAAUAGCUCACUAGUCGAGUGACACUGCGCCGAAAAUGUACCGGGGCUAAACAUAUUACCGAAGCUGUGGAUUGUCCUUUGGACAAUGGUAGGAGAGCGUUCUAAGGGCGUUGAAGCAUGAUCGUAAGGACAUGUGGAGCGCUUAGAAGUGAGAAUGCCGGUGUGAGUAGCGAAAGACGGGUGAGAAUCCCGUCCACCGAUUGACUAAGGUUUCCAGAGGAAGGCUCGUCCGCUCUGGGUUAGUCGGGUCCUAAGCUGAGGCCGACAGGCGUAGGCGAUGGAUAACAGGUUGAUAUUCCUGUACCACCUAUAAUCGUUUUAAUCGAUGGGGGGACGCAGUAGGAUAGGCGAAGCGUGCGAUUGGAUUGCACGUCUAAGCAGUAAGGCUGAGUAUUAGGCAAAUCCGGUACUCGUUAAGGCUGAGCUGUGAUGGGGAGAAGACAUUGAGUCUUCGAGUCGUUGAUUUCACACUGCCGAGAAAAGCCUCUAGAUAGAAAAUAGGUGCCCGUACCGCAAACCGACACAGGUAGUCAAGAUGAGAAUUCUAAGGUGAGCGAGCGAACUCUCGUUAAGGAACUCGGCAAAAUGACCCCGUAACUUCGGGAGAAGGGGUGCUCUUUAGGGUUAACGCCCAGAAGAGCCGCAGUGAAUAGGCCCAAGCGACUGUUUAUCAAAAACACAGGUCUCUGCUAAACCGUAAGGUGAUGUAUAGGGGCUGACGCCUGCCCGGUGCUGGAAGGUUAAGAGGAGUGGUUAGCUUCUGCGAAGCUACGAAUCGAAGCCCCAGUAAACGGCGGCCGUAACUAUAACGGUCCUAAGGUAGCGAAAUUCCUUGUCGGGUAAGUUCCGACCCGCACGAAAGGCGUAACGAUUUGGGCACUGUCUCAACGAGAGACUCGGUGAAAUCAUAGUACCUGUGAAGAUGCAGGUUACCCGCGACAGGACGGAAAGACCCCGUGGAGCUUUACUGUAGCCUGAUAUUGAAAUUCGGCACAGCUUGUACAGGAUAGGUAGGAGCCUUUGAAACGUGAGCGCUAGCUUACGUGGAGGCGCUGGUGGGAUACUACCCUAGCUGUGUUGGCUUUCUAACCCGCACCACUUAUCGUGGUGGGAGACAGUGUCAAGCGGGCAGUUUGACUGGGGCGGUCGCCUCCUAAAAGGUAACGGAGGCGCUCAAAGGUUCCCUCAGAAUGGUUGGAAAUCAUUCAUAGAGUGUAAAGGCAUAAGGGAGCUUGACUGCGAGACCUACAAGUCGAGCAGGGUCGAAAGACGGACUUAGUGAUCCGGUGGUUCCGCAUGGAAGGGCCAUCGCUCAACGGAUAAAAGCUACCCCGGGGAUAACAGGCUUAUCUCCCCCAAGAGUUCACAUCGACGGGGAGGUUUGGCACCUCGAUGUCGGCUCAUCGCAUCCUGGGGCUGUAGUCGGUCCCAAGGGUUGGGCUGUUCGCCCAUUAAAGCGGUACGCGAGCUGGGUUCAGAACGUCGUGAGACAGUUCGGUCCCUAUCCGUCGUGGGCGUAGGAAAUUUGAGAGGAGCUGUCCUUAGUACGAGAGGACCGGGAUGGACAUACCUCUGGUGUACCAGUUGUCGUGCCAACGGCAUAGCUGGGUAGCUAUGUGUGGACGGGAUAAGUGCUGAAAGCAUCUAAGCAUGAAGCCCCCCUCAAGAUGAGAUUUCCCAACUUCGGUUAUAAGAUCCCUCAAAGAUGAUGAGGUUAAUAGGUUCGAGGUGGAAGCAUGGUGACAUGUGGAGCUGACGAAUACUAAUCGAUCGAAGACUUAAUCAA
rnacentral:rRNA from 1 species